CACGCUACGGUGUUCGGGUCC
rnacentral:miRNA from 1 species